GCCUCCUGACGCCGGCGCAGCGUCGCCGGGGCGUCCCAGACCGCAGGCCCCGCGCGGCCGCCCAAGCCCGGCUCCCACGUCCCGCUCUCGGCUCCCCGGAGGUCGGAGACUUUGAGGUAUCUCCACGUCAAACCUUCAUGAGGCGACACCGCAAGUAGCUGCUGAGGACGUAGCGGAUCCUCUCCAUCUCCAUUUGGUGGAUGCUGACCUUCAGGUCCUCCCUUUUGGCUCUCCUGAGAUUUUCUUCCUAUUAAAUGAGAAAUUAAGGUUUAUAAAAAACAUGAUGUUCAACCAUCAUCACCGGCAACGUUGAGGACCCAGACUAUGUUUCAGUCCAAGGAAAACAAAAAUAUCAUGUUUUAUGCUUGAAAUGGCUACAUCUGGUUUCUGGUCACACAGUGGCAUGAUAAUGGCUCACUGCAUUCUUGACCUCCAAGGCUUAAGUGAUCCUCCUGCCUCAGCCUCCAGAGUAGCUGGGACUAAAGGUACAUACCACAAAGCCUGGCUAAUUUUUAAAUUUUUUUUAAUAAAGAUGGGGUUUUACCAUGUUGCCUACAGUGGUCUUCGAAAUCCUGGCCUCAUGACAUCCCCCUGCAUUAGCCUCCAGAAGUGUUGGGAUUACAGGCUUGAACCACUGUGCCUGGCCCCUGAUCAAAAUUCUAAAUGCCAAUCUGUUCAUUAUUGCUACGGGCUGAAGUGUGUCCGCCCCUCAAAAAUCUACCUAACUUCCAGGACCUCAGACCGUGACUGUAUUUGGAGAUGGAGGUCUUUAAAGAAGUGAUUAAGUUAAAAUGAGGUCAUUAGGAUGGCCCCUAAUCCAGUAAGACUGGUGCCCUGAUAAGGGGUAAUUUUAACACAGACACACACGAGAGGGAAGACCAUGCAAGGACACAGGGAGAAUAUGGUCACCUACAAACCCAAGACAGAGGACUCGGAAGAAGACAACUAUGCUGGCACUUUGACCUCAGCCUCUAGAAUUAAGAAAAUAAAUUUCUAUUUAAGCCACCCAGUCUUUGGGACUUCGCUCUGUGGCCCUAGCAAACUAAAACAAUCACUAAAAUGAGCAAAUCUGCACUACAGGGUACCCUGCUUCUGCUGGCUUAAUGUCUCAGAACUUUGGUGUCACUGAUCUCAGACACCACUUUGCUAUCCACUAUCUGGCGGGUGGUGGUCUUUUGGAUGGUUUGCAUGGAGUUGCUGCUGUCCAGGGCAUCACCAAGAUUGAGGCCCUCGCUGUCUUCCAGCAGGCGGCGGUAGGUGGCGAUCUCAGCCUCCAGCUUGACCCUGAUGUUCAGCAAGUCCUUGUACUCCUGGACCUUGCGCUGGCCCUCUGCCCAGUUCUGUGCCAGCUUUGACUCCAAGUACAGCAGGAUUCUGUUGAGCUGCUCCAUCUGCAGGGCGUAGCGGGCCUCCACCUCCCUCAGGCUGUUCUACAAGCUGGUCUUCAGAUUUCUCAUUGAGUCCAGGUCAAUCUCCAAGCACUGGACUGUACGUCUCAGCUCCGUGUCAUCUCAGCAGCUCUGACCUUGGCAGAGUGUGUGGUGACCACUGUGGUGCUCUCCUCAGUCUGCUGAGACCAGUACUUGCCUAGCUUCUCUGAGUUCUUCUGAGACAGCUCAUCCUAUUGGGCCCUGAUGUCUGCCAUGACCUUGGCGAGGACUUGAGAUUUGGGGGCAUCUACCUCCACGGCCAACCCAGAGUUGGCAAUCUGGACUUGCAAGCCUUUUACUUCCUCUUCAUGGUUCUUCUUCAUGAGGAGCAGCUCCUCCUUGAGAGCGCCCAUCUCUGUCUCCAGCUGCAGCAGAGUGACAUUGGUGUCAUCAAUGACCUUGCAGAGCCCAUGGAUGUUGCUCUCCACAGACUGGCGCAUGGCCAGCUCUUGUCUCAUACUUGACUCUGAAGUCAUCAGCAGCAAGACGGGCAUUGUCGAUCUGCAGAAUGAUGUGGACAUUGUCCACAGUAUUUGCGAAGAUCUGAGCCCUCAGUUCCUUGAUGGUCUUGAAGUAAUGGCCCCAGUCUCUGACAUGGGGUCUCUUCUCCAGAUACUCCUGGAUUUUGCUCUCCAGCCUCCAGUUCUCGGUCUCCAGGUUCCUCACUCUGUCCAGGUAGUCCAGGUGGUCGUUCAGGCUUUGCAUGGUCUCCUUCUCAUUCUGGAUGCCCCCCAUUUCUGCCAGACCCCCAGCCAUCUCUGUGGCCAGGCCCCCAGACCCCAAGCCGCCCCAGAAACUGGUAGAACAGGACAUGGAGAUCUGGGAUCCCAAGCCCCCCAGUGCCUGCAUAGAUGCUGGCUGCGCUGCUGACCGGCCAGGUGCCAUAGCUGGGCGGCUGGACAGAGCCCAGGGACUGGUAGUUGGUGGAGAAGGUGGAGGGAGUGGUGAAGCUCAUGCUGUCCGGGGAAGAGAGCAGGCUUUGUCAACGACUACUCCUUAAUUUUUACUUAUAAUAUACCUGCUGUUGUAAGAUAAAGCAGGUAAGAAAUUGAGAGGUGUGACAUAGAAAUGUAAGAUGUUUAUUUUAAAACACUAAGCUACAUUGUACGGUACACUACUACAAUUCUAGUAUUAUCUGACAAAUUUAGUGUCCUAUCAUUUACCACUUUACCAUCAUUUACUACCAAAUCCCACCAAAUAUGACACAGAGACAACUUGUUUAAGAAAAGUUUUAUUAAUGUGUUAAUAUUUCAGCAAAGUUAUUGCAACAGGUUGAAAAUGCAGACACACUAUUACAGGCUGUAAAGUAACAAAUGAGUUUUACACAAUUAAAAUAUUAACACAUACUUAUGGGAUUUGUUGAAUGACUAACAGACCCAUAAAAGAAAUUAAAUCUGAGACGAAAUCCAGUAUUAGCACCUACAAUAUAUCUGACAGUGAAACUUUUAAUGGUUUCUCUCUCCUAAUGUAUUUUUAAACUCUCUCCCAAAUACAGCGCUCUCAAACCCCAAGGAUAAACGAAAGGCAUAAGCAGCCCCGAUCCUAGGAACGUACAGCCAAAAGCAGAGCUACAAAUAUGGACUCAGACUUGAGAGUUUUACUGAGAAGUAACUUACUGUACUUGAGCCAAUCAUAAGAUUUCUGUGCACUGAAUACUGUAUAUGAGAAAAUUCUGUGGGUCAUAAGGUUUGCCUUAGGGAUAGUUAAAAAUUAGUAAUAUACAGUAUUAUUCCUAUCAAAUUUUUUUCUCAUAAGUUAUAUUUAUAACAAAACUAUAAUUAAAAUAUUUUUUAUACCUGCUUAUUCCAUAUCCAGGGACACAGCGGGAACAUUUAUGUGUCUGAUGGUUUGGCAUCCACUUUAUUGUGCUUACUGAUUUUUGUGAUGAACAAGCAGCACGUAUCAUAUCUUUCCAACAUUCAAGGUAAUGGAACAAUGACAUAAAAUUCUCCAAAGAAAUAACUGGAAAUUGCAUUAAAUACUGCUUUAAUUAGGCAUAAUUGCUAUAAUAAAACAAAUAACAUUAUACAUUUUUUUUUCAAUAAGCUUCAGUUUGAGGAACUGAAUAGUAGAAACAGAUCUUAAGAUUUGAGUCAUGGUAAAACCAGUAAUUCUUUGAAAUCUGGGAGGUGCAAAACGACAGCCACAGCCAACCCUCACCAAAAUCCUGGAGAAAAACAUUUUAUUAAUUUAGGGGAACAAGAUAGAACACUGGUGAAGAUACGGCUUGUUGAGGUCUAAAGCCACCUGAGAAGCUGGCCCAAGGAAUGAAGAGAACCAAUGGUAUGUACUGGUGGCAGAUAACAAGCUUUGCACUGGGCUGACCAACUGUGUUUUAUUAAAUGGCUUUGAAUAAAAAAAAGUGAAGUGCUUCAUUGUGUUUUCUCAGAAACUAAUCAAAAGAUUACAGAGUCCUACACAAUUUGGAGACACAAAGUGGAUGCUGAGCGACUAGAGGUCACUCCAGGUGUGGAAUUUUAGAAAGUGAGUCCUUGGAGUAAAUGGCACCGUGGCUCUGGCAGCAGAUAGAAAGGAAUGAUGCUCUGGAGAGGAGGUAGGGACACUCUGCGGUCGGCCAGUGGAUACAUGAGGGGCCCGGCUGG
ensembl:lncRNA GPAT4-AS1 GPAT4 and GINS4 antisense RNA 1